GAUGAACGCUGGCGGCGUGCCUAAUACAUGCAAGUCGAGCGAAUGGAUUAAGAGCUUGCUCUUAUGAAGUUAGCGGCGGACGGGUGAGUAACACGUGGGUAACCUGCCCAUAAGACUGGGAUAACUCCGGGAAACCGGGGCUAAUACCGGAUAACAUUUUGAACCGCAUGGUUCGAAAUUGAAAGGCGGCUUCGGCUGUCACUUAUGGAUGGACCCGAGUCGCAUUAGCUAGUUGGGGAGGUAACGGCUCACCAAGGCAACGAUGCGUAGCCGACCUGAGAGGGUGAUCGGCCGCACUGGGACUGAGACACGGCCCAGACUCCUACGGGAGGCAGCAGUAGGGAAUCUUCCGCAAUGGACGAAAGUCUGACGGAGCAACGCCGCGUGAGUGAUGAAGGCUUUCGGGUCGUAAAACUCUGUUGUUAGGGAAGAACAAGUGCUAGUUGAAUAAGCUGGCACCUUGACGGUACCUAACCAGAAAGCCACGGCUAACUACGUGCCAGCCGCCGCGGUAA
rnacentral:rRNA from 1 species